UCCAGGACCGAAGUUGCCUAUCCCUGCCGUAGAGGAUCCAUUUGUGAGCAAGUGAGAAGUGACCUAGGACCUCUGCAAAGUGCCUUUAGACAAUAACAGGAGGAUAACAAGACCUGUAUAAUAACAGAUGGCUACAAUAACGGUCUCUUCUAUUGUCUGAUUCAACUGGACGUGUCAAGAAGCUCUUCGCUGAUUGGCUUGCUUGAGUGCAGUAAGCAGUAUGCAUUAACAUGACUGGAGGACACUGAAAGAACAAAAAUUCAGAACAUACCAAUAAUUACUCUUGGUUAAAUGUAAGAGAAAGUUAUUAGCUUUGAUGUCAUCAAGGGAUAGUUCACUCAAAAAUAUUGUAUUAUUCUAAUUUACUCCCCC
ensembl:lncRNA